rnacentral:rRNA from 1 species
GUCUACGGCCAUACCACCCUGAACGCGCCCGAUCUCGUCUGAUCUCGGAAGCUAAGCAGGGUCGGGCCUGGUUAGUACUUGGAUGGGAGUCCAUCCCCAGAGCUUCUAACUCAGUAGGUC